rnacentral:rRNA from 1 species
GGUUGACCUCGGAUCAGGUAGGGAUACCCGCUGAACUUAAGCAUAUCAAUAAGCGGAGGAAAAGAAACCAACAGGGAUUGCCCCAGUAACGGCGAGUGAAGCGGCAAGAGCUCAAAUUUGAAAGCUGGCUCCUUC